rnacentral:lncRNA from 1 species
CAAGAUAGAACCACACCAUUCGUUGUUGCCCUUGGUGGAAAUGUAUCUGCUGUUUGUAUAUGAAACCCAAUGCCUUCAGUUGGGUGGGGGCAGUAGUGUGGGUUAUUUGAGGAAGGGAAUGGUUGAGGGAGAGAAAGAAACUAUCAAAUGUCUUUUCUAUCAGCAAGGCUGGCUUCACCAGCAUGUGACCAGUACUACAAGCUUGCUGUAGUAAUUUUAUUUUUAGAGUUUCUCUGCCACCAAGAGUGGGCUCUUGGUAACUUCUCUGCCCCUGUUUUGUGCAACCCUCACCCUUUGACCCCGGUUGGCCUCUCUGAUGGGCUGAUGACUGAUGGGACCCACUAUCCUUGGCAAGGAGUGGAGCACAGGUCUAAGGGAUGGUCUUGCAUGUCCUUCAGCAUCUUGAAGGCAGGCGGUGGUGCACUGCACAGGUCGGGUGUGAUACCUAGUACUGAGUGACUAUUAAUGAGUCUCAUUUGUCUUGGGUAGGAGUUGGGCUCCUAGGAAGGGAAUAUGCCUGGUUCAAAAGGUCUUUUCCCAUCCAGGGCAUUGAUGAUUGCAUGGCUUUCAAGAGCCAAACCCUGGGCACCUGAUGAGCUGUAGCGCACAGGCACCAUGUGUCAGGGUGAGCUUGGGCCUCCCUGCUGCAACCCACCAGCCGCCAGCUACACAAGCACAUGUUCCCUUGCCUAAGGGAGCAACUUAAAAUACUAAGAACACCCUGAGAAAUCAGGAAAAAAAGGUAAAUAUUUUAUAUUUCAGUUAUUUGUGAUGCUUUUUACCUGGUUUUGGAACCAUGGACACUGCAUAUUAAUUUUGCAUUGACCUUUGUAAAUUAUUUAGCCUGUUGUGUGCAUUGUGUAUUUGAUUGCUGUAAACAUUAAAUGAGGUAAAAAGUAUAGUAAGCAUCUGGCAAAGGGUCUGCUACACAGACACAAUAAAUGGAAAAAUUGUAGAAAGUUAAUUAUGGGUUCUCAAAAUAGAAAAAGAUUAGGAAGAAGAUUCUGGAAGAGAUAAACAAUCUACCAGAAUGAGGGGAUAGGGAAUCCUACCAUUUUUCUCUUACUUCCCUGUCCUCACUUAAGUAUAGGUGGUUCUUUCUGGGACGUAAUUUGUUCUGUUCAAAUAAUGUUUUUGCAGAUUUAUUCAUCAAGUUUUUGAUAUCAUUAUUUAGCAAGUGGUUAUACAACAAAGGAGACCAUUUCUAAGAGGAAAGUUGAAAAAAUCAACCGCGGUGCCCAGCUAGUUACCAUCUUGAGGCGGGCUAGAGGGCGAAGAUGGCAUGUUACAGCUAAAACAGAGAGCUCAGAGAAUCAGCUCAGCUUCUCUUUCCUAGGGGGUCAACUCACUCGCUGGCUUGCUCUUUCC